rnacentral:rRNA from 1 species
UAAAGAUUCAUCGCUGAUAGAUAGGCAUGCGUUCCAUUAGGCAGUUGGCGGGGUAACGGCCCACCAAACCGACGAUGGAUAGGGGUUCUGAGAGGAAGGUCCCCCACAUUGGUACUGAGACACGGACCAAACUCCUACGGGAGGCAGCAGUGAGGAAUAUUGGUCAAUGGGCGUAAGCCUGAACCAGCCAAGUCGCGUGAGGGAUGAAGGUUCUAUGGAUCGUAAACCUCUUUUAUAAGGGAAUAAAGUGCGGGACGUGUCCCGUUUUGUAUGUACCUUAUGAAUAAGGAUCGGCUAACUCCGUGCCAGCAGCCGCGGUAAUACGGAGGAUCCGAGCGUUAUCCGGAUUUAUUGGGUUUAAAGGGUGCGUAGGCGGCCUUUUAAGUCAGCGGUGAAAGUCUGUGGCUCAACCAUAGAAUUGCCGUUGAAACUGGGAGGCUUGAGUAUGUUUGAAGCAGGCGGAAUGCGUGGUGUAGCGGUGAAAUGCUUAGAUAUCACGCAGAACCCCGAUUGCGAAGGCAGCCUGCCAAGCCAUGACUGACGCUGAUGCACGAAAGCGUGGGGAUCAAACAGGAUUAGAUACCCUGGUAGUCCACGCAGUAAACGAUGAUCACUAGCUGUUUGCGAUACAGUGUAA